rnacentral:misc_RNA from 1 species
AUAUAUAUAUAUAUAGCAUACAUAUUCUUGUUCCACUUAAUUAUCUUCGUAUGGUGUUUGUAUUUGAUAUUUGUGAGCAUUCCAUUUUCAGAACAAUGUAUAAUUUAGACUUGUGUGUGAGUGAAUGUAUGUUGUUACAUAAUUUGUUAUACUUAUGAUCAUGCUUGUAAUUCAGAUUUGUAUUAAAAUUUUCAAUCUCAG